AGAACAACAUUCCUUACAUUUUAUGUCUUUGCCCAUAUUAGUUUUCUGAGAGUUGUUGAUCUUGCUACACAUUCAAUUUAAAUUCAUGGUUUUCAUGAAGAGUACAGAUUUUUAAAUUGAACUGAAUUCUGAAGAGUUGUCAAUGUGUUUAUCAAUCUUGCUUUGAAUAUGUUGUUCUGUUCAGGAGCAAAGCCCUUAUCAUAAAAUGAAAUCCACAAAGCUUGUAGCAUUUUCUCCUUAUUUAGCAUGGACAUUCUUGAAGGCCUAUUUAUUAUUUAUCUGUAUUAUGAGGGCAUAUUUUGUAUUAGUGGUAUUCUAUUUCAUAAGAUUUAUUUUUGUUAUUAUGGUUAUUGUAGCCUUUAUCUCAUCAACACAACUAUUAUGGAAGGAAAUGUGCAAUUGUAUACUAGUACAUUAAAUGAUGAUAAUAUAAGAAGCAGAAUUGUGAAAUAAUAUAUUGAUAUUGUUAUUGUUUUUUUGUUAUGGUCAUGUAGAAUAUAAAAUGUAGUGUUUCCGCAAUUGUUAGUGACAAUAAAGACUGAAAAAAAUU
rnacentral:misc_RNA from 1 species